UGGGGAAUAUUGCACAAUGGGGGAAACCCUGAUGCAGCGACGCCGCGUGAACGAAGAAGGUAUUCGUAUCGUAAAGUUCUGUCCUAUGGGAAGAUAAUGACAGUACCAUAGAAGAAAGCUCCGGCUAAAUACGUGCCAGCAGCCGCGGUAAUACGUAUGGAGCGAGCGUUGUCCGGAAUUAUUGGGCGUAAAGGGUACGCAGGCGGUUUAAUAAGUCGAAUGUUAAAGAUCGGGGCUCAACCCCGCAAAGCAUUGGAAACUGAUAAACUUGAGUAGUGGAGAGGAAAGUGGAAUUCCUAGUGUAGUGGUGAAAUACGUAGAUAUUAGGAGGAAUACUAGUAGCGAAGGUGACUUUCUGGACACAAACUGACGCUGAGGUACGAAAGCGUGGGGAGCAAACAGG
rnacentral:rRNA from 1 species